rnacentral:rRNA from 1 species
AUGUCACAUGGGAUGAUGAGAUGGACGCUGCCUUUUGAGGUACUUGUUCAUCAUCACAACAUGGGUGACCAUCCACAAAAUGGAUGGAAAGCACAUGUGUAUAGUGCAGCUAUCAAGAAUGUGAAGGAGAAGUGCAAUAAGGAUAUCGCGAAGAACAAUAUAUUAGGAAGGCUUAGGACUUUCGACAAUCAAUUUGAAAUCAUUAACAAGAUCCUUUCUCAAAGCGGUUUUGGUUGGGAUUGGGUCAAUAAUAAGCUAUCCAUUGAUAGCGACGAUGUGUGGACUAAAUAUUUGGAGGCUAAUAAGAAGGAGAAAGCAUUAGCUUCUUACAAGACCAAAGUAGUGAAGCACUGGGAAGCCAUCGCUACCAUAUAUUCAAAAGAUCAUGCGGACGGUGAAGGUGCCAAGACAGGUGCUGAGACUGCUGCUGAGAUUGCUGCAGAUCUAGAAGAAACAAUUGAAGUCUCUCCAGAAACGGUACCAAAGAGACAACAAACAGGUGAUGCCAUUAUGUGCAUGAUUGGAGAAAUGAGGACUACUUUCAAGGAUGCUUUGAAGACAACUGAUCCACUUCCAUUGCCAAAGGUUACUACUCCUUCUGAAAUACUUGCUGCACUUGAGUUGAUACCAGAGUUGGUAGAAGUAGACAUGUUGCGCUCUUACGGACAGUAG